rnacentral:rRNA from 1 species
GAUGAACGCUGGCGGCAUGCUUUACACAUGCAAGUCGGACGGGAAGUGGUGUUUCCUGUGGCGGACUGGUGAGGAAAGCGUAAGAACCUGCCCUUGGGAGGGGGACAACAGCUGGAAACGGCUGCUAAUAAACCGUAGGCUGAGGAGCGAAGGGAGGAAUCCGCCCAAGGAGGGGCUCGCGUGUGACUGUCUAGUUGGUGAGGUAAUAGCUUACCAAGGCGGUGGGCAGGAGGUGGGCUGGGAGGAUGGUCCGCCACACGGGGACGGAGCGAGGCCGCAGCCUCCGGGGGGCGGCAGUGGGGGAGAUUGUACAGCAAUGGGCGGCAGCCUGACGCAGCGACGCGGCGGGGAGGUAAGCGGUCUACUGGUCAUGAACUUCCGCUUGUGAAGAAGAGACAAUGACGGUAUCGGGUGAAUAAGCACCGGCUAACUCUGUG